rnacentral:rRNA from 1 species
UACGGGGGGGGCAAGCGUUGUUCGGAAUUACUGGGCGUAAAGGGCUCGUAGGCGGCCAACUAAGUCGGAUGUGAAAUCCCCAGGCUUAACCUGGGAACUGCAUCCGAUACUGGAUGGCUUGAAUCCGGGAGAGGGAUGCAGAAUUCCAGGUGUAGCGGUGAAAUGCGUAGAUAUCUGGAGGAAUACCGGUGGCGAAGGCGGCACCCUGGACCGGCAUUGACGCUGAGGAGCGAAAGCGAGGGGAGCAAACAGG